rnacentral:rRNA from 1 species
ACACUCCUACGGGAGGCAGCAGUGGGGAAUAUUGGACAAUGGGCGCAAGCCUGAUCCAGCCAUGCCGCGUGAGUGAUGAAGGCCCUAGGGUUGUAAAGCUCUUUCACCGGUGAAGAUAAUGACGGUAACCGGAGAAGAAGCCCCGGCUAACUUCGUGCCAGCAGCCGCGGUAAUACGAAGGGGGCUAGCGUUGUUCGGAUUUACUGGGCGUAAAGCGCACGUAGGCGGACUAUUAAGUCAGGGGUGAAACCCCGGGGCUCAACCCCGGAACUGCCUUUGAUACUGGUAGUCUUGAGUUCGAGAGAGGUGAGUGGAAUUCCGAGUGUAGAGGUGAAAUUCGUAGAUAUUCGGAGGAACACCAGUGGCGAAGGCGGCUCACUGGCUCGAUACUGACGCUGAGGUGCGAAAGCGUGGGGAGCAAACAGGAUUAGAAACCCGAGUAGUCCC